CAAUAGCGUAUAUUAAAGUUGUUGCAGUUAAAAAGCUCGUAGUUGGAUUUCUGGUGGGAGCGAUCGGUCUGGCGCUUAGCGCGAGUACUUGCAUCGUCUCCGGCCAUCCUUGGGGAGAGUCUGUCUGGCAUUAAGUUGUCGGGCAGAGGAUCCUCAUCGUUUACUGUGAAAAGAUUAGAGUGUUCAAAGCAGGCUUAUGCCGUUGAAUAUAUUAGCAUGGAAUAAUAAGAUAGGACUUUGGUACUAUUUUGUUGGUUUGCGCACCAAAGUAAUGAUUAAUAGGGACAGUUGGGGGUAUUCGUAUUCCGUUGUCAGAGGUGAAAUUCUUGGAUUUACGGAAGACGAACUACUGCGAAAGCAUUUACCAAGGAUGUUUUCAUUAA
rnacentral:rRNA from 1 species